rnacentral:pre_miRNA from 1 species
AGUAGAAUAGCUGGAUCAAAUGGUGGGCCCAUUCCCAGUUUUCCAGGGAAUCUCCAUACUGCUUUCCAGAUUGGCUGCACCAAUUUGCAGUCCCACCAGCAAU